rnacentral:misc_RNA from 1 species
GCAAACUUGGUCAUUUAGAGGAAGUAAAAGUCGUAACAAGGUCUCCGUUGGUGAACCAGCGGAGGGAUCAUUACAGAGUUUUCUAACUCCCAAACCCUUUGUGAACUUACCAUUCUGUUGCCUCGGCGGGCCUCUGGGAUUCGUCCCACGUCCGCCGGCGGCCCCUUAAACUCUGUUAUUAUACGUAAUCUGAGAGUAUUCUAAAAUAAAAGUUAAAACUUUCAACAACGGAUCUCUUGGUUCUGGCAUCGAUGAAGAACGCAGC